AACACUGAACACUUAACAGUUCACACUACACUAUCAAUGGCGGCAACAAUUUUCCCGCGAUAAUCUCUUCAGAUUAAUCGUCUUCUUCAUCUUUAACGCCGCUUGUUCUUACGAUUUCUCUGGAAUCUUGCCAUGGUGAUUGAUGAUCCUAUGUAUGAUAGUUCAGGCAAUGUUCUUUUCCCAUGAUGUGGUGGAAUGAAGCCAUCAGUUCAAGCCUGAUUAUCUCUGAUCCCAAUAGAUACCCCGGUAAAAGCAUAGAGUGCUAGAGGAUCUUCGAGAGUUCAAGGUGAUGGAUGCCUUGGUGGAGGCAUCUGAUAUGAUCAGAUCUGUCCUAUCUUUUCUUAUCAAUGGAGAAGGCGUACAAAUUUUGCAGAGAUGCUGGUGGUUUACAACUUCAUGCCCCUGAGGCUUCUUUCUCCCUUUAAAUUCAAUUAUAAGAUUUUGGUAUUUGUUUAAAUUUUAGGUAUAGUGAUAUAUGUAUAGGUUCCGUCAUGAGUUCAUUCAUACAAUGGAGCCUAGGCACUAGUUAUUGAGGGCAUGGCUGCAAUUUGAGCAUUGCUUUGUCAGUAUUAUAUGGAAGAUGGAUUAUUAACGAACACUUUUUUUUUAAAAAAAAAAUCUUUUAAGCGAGCAAUAUAUUAACUAACAAUUUUAUUUUAUUAUUUUUUUUUAUUUGGAAAAUGUUUUAGGUGCUUAGGGUACCAAAGGUUUUAUAAAAGAGGCUUUUGUAAUGAAUCUCCCUUCUCUCAAGUUUUGUUAAGGAUCCAUGGUGCAACAAGGAUUUACCCUUAUUCUAGGCCUCUAGGGCAUGUAAGCCAAAUAUGUAACAAAUGUUCUCCCUCCUUUUCCAAUUAAAGUUCUUGGUUCUUUUGGUCUUAAGUAUUUAUCGGAGAAAAUGUGAUGGGAUUUGGUUUAUAAUGUGAUGAGAAACUAUGGUUUUAUUGAGUAAAACUCAAUUAAAAGGAAAUUA